CAUGCUCUCUGAAACCAGAUCUGACUCAGGUUGCAGGUUUAGCAAGGGCUGAGAUGCCUGCUGGCUGAUAGCCAAAGGACAAGUGUGGAAAACUGGGAUGUGUGCAUCAGGAACAGUCUCAGCUGGAACCUCACCAAGCUGCAGGAUGACCUCCAACCACCUACUACAGAAAGAGCAAGACACAGCCUCAGGUGGGGCCGCAGCUAUCCAAAUGGCAAAGGAAGGGAAAGGAGCAGCUCCUGGGAAGAGCUUCAGCAGCAGUGCAAGCAGAGCUCUGCCAACUCCUGGCAGUCUGACGGUGGGCAAAGCCCUGACUGGGUUCUGUGCUGCUCUGACUGCAGGGCUCAAGUGCUGCCUAAUGCGACUCUGGGUUUGGUGCUGAGAUAAUGGCAAGUCUUGGUCCACAACAGUGACAGCUGGGGGAGUCAUUUUCAUCCAUGCCACAUUCCCAAGGGUUGCACAUGCCUGGGAGACAGGCUCGUGAUGAGUUCAAGGAGGGCACAGAAUGGCUUGAGAGAGUCCAGCACGGAGCCACCAAGAUGCUAAAGGGAAUGGAACAGCUGUGAGGAGCAGAGCCUGAGGGAGCUGGGGCUGUGCUGCUGGGAGAGGAGGAGAUUGAGAGGGGACCUCAGCAGUGGUUAUCAACACGUGCAGGAGGCUGCAGCCAGGCUCUGCUGGGUGAUGCCCAGGGUGGAAGCUGAGCCAUAGGAAGUUUCAUUCAACCAUGAGGAGGACUUUUUCCCUGUGAGGGUGGCAGAGACCUGGCACAGGCUGCCCAGGGGGUUGUGGAGUCUCUCUCUCUGGAGAUAAUCAAAACCCACCUGGAUAUGCUCCUGUGUGCUCUGGUCUAGGAGAUCCUGCUCUGGCAGGGCUUGGACUGGAUGAGCUUUGGAGCUCCUCCAGCCCCUGACACUCUGUGGCUCUGUGGAGUGACACAAGGCAUUGACAGUAACAGCAGCACAGAAGUCCCAUCUGAGCAGGGAGGGGAAGGUGUCAGUGGUUCUCUCACCAUGCAGGGGAUGACUUCAGGCUGAAGGUACCUCUCAAUGCUCUGCUUGUUGGUUGGGGCUGGGGGAGUUUUGCUUCUUUCAGAUCUAUGCAUCUGUUGGAUCUGAGACAGAAAAGGACACAUGGGUUUGAGAAUC